AAGCUCGUAGUUGAAUUUCGGGGUUAGUAGGUUGGUCAUGCCUCUGGUAUGUACUGGUCUCACUGAUUCCUCCUUCCUUAUGAACCGUAAUGCCAUUAAUUUGGUGUUGCGGGGAAUUUGGACUGUUACUUUGAAAAAAUUAGAGUGUUUAAAGCAAGCUAACGCUUGAAUACAUUAGCAUGGAAUAAUGAAAUAGGACGUUCGAUCUUAUUUUGUUGGUUUUCUAGGAUUGACGUAAUGAUUAAUAGGGAUAGUUGGG
rnacentral:rRNA from 1 species